rnacentral:rRNA from 1 species
UACGGGGGGGGCAAGCGUUGUUCGGAAUUACUGGGCGUAAAGGGCUCGUAGGCGGCCAACUAAGUCGGACGUGAAAUCCCUCGGCUUAACCGGGGAACUGCGUCCGAUACUGGAUGGCUUGAAUCCGGGAGAGGGAUGCGGAAUUCCAGGUGUAGCGGUGAAAUGCGUAGAUAUCUGGAGGAACACCGGUGGCGAAGGCGGCAUCCUGGACCGGCAUUGACGCUGAGGAGCGAAAGCCAGGGGAGCAAACGGG